GGGGCAGAGGGGGCUCUGUCCGUCCGUCUGUCCGGGGGCGCUCAGUCUCUGGCAGGGGGAUCUGUCCAUCCGUCUGUCUGUCCGGGGGCACUCGGUCCCUGGCGGGAGGAAGAGGGCUCUGGCUCUGUCCGUCCGUCUGUCCGGGGGCGCUCAGUCCCUGGAGGGGGCAGAGGGGGCUCUGUCCCUCUGUCCGUCCGUCUGUCCGGGGGCGCUCAGUCCCUGGAGGGGGC